AAUCAAGCUGGAAAGGGCACACGGCGGAUGCCUGGGCGCCAGGCGCCGAUGAAGGACGUGGCAAGCUGCGAUAAGCCUCGGGGAGCCGCAAGCAGGCGUAGAUCCGGGGAUCUCCGAAUGGGGCAACCCGGCUGGCGUAAUGGCCAGUCACCCACAGCUGAAUCCAUAGGCUGUGAGGAGGGCACCGCCCGAACUGAAACAUCUCAGUAGGGCGAGGAAAAGAAAUCAACCGAGAUUCCCUCAGUAGCGGCGAGCGAACGGGGAGGAGCCUAAACCAGUUCCGGCUGAGCCGGGGCUGGGGUUGCGGGACGCCGAUGAAGCGAUGCUCCUGAGCCUAGCUGAACAGGUCUGGAAAGGCCGGCCACAGAAGGUAAUAGCCCUGUAGGCGAAAGGCGAAGGACCGCUUGGCGGAUCCCAAGUACCACGGGACACGAGGAAUCCCGUGGGAAUCCGGGGGGACCACCCUCCAAGGCUAAAUACGCCUGGCGACCGAUAGUGAACCAGUACCGUGAGGGAAAGGUGAAAAGCACCGCGGGAGCGGAGUGAAAGAGACCCUGAAACCGUGUGCCUACAAGCAGUACGAGCCCCAUAUAAGGGUGAGUGCGUGCCUAUUGAAGAAUGAACCGGCGAGUUACGGUCACUGGCAUGGUUAAGGGCCUCAGGCCCGGAGCCGAAGCGAAAGCGAGUCUGAAGAGGGCGUAGUCAGUGGCUGUAGACCCGAAACCCGGUGAUCUAUCCAUGGCCAGGGUGAAGCGGGGGUAAGACCUCGUGGAGGCCCGAACCGGUCAGUGUUGAAAAACUGUCGGAUGAGCUGUGGAUAGGGGUGAAAAGCCAAACGAACCGGGAGAUAGCUGGUUCUCCCCGAAAUAGCUUUAGGGCUAGCGUCGGCAGAGAAGCUUGCUGGAGGUAGAGCACUGAUUGGGCUAGGGGCCCUAUCGGUUACCGAACCCAGUCAAACUCCGAAUGCCAGCAAGUAUGGCCGGCAGUCAGACGGCGAGCGCUAAGGUCCGUCGUCAAGAGGGAAACAGCCCAGACCGCCAGCUAAGGUCCCCAAGUCUCUGCUAAGUGGUCAAGGAUGUGGCGUUGUAGAGACAACCAGGAUGUUGGCUUAGAAGCAGCCAUCAUUGAAAGAGUGCGUAACAGCUCACUGGUCGAAUGACGCUGCGCCAUAAAUACUCGGGGCUAAGCAGAGCACCGAAGCUGCGGACUGCCGUAGGGCAGUGGUAGGGGAGCGUUCCAUGUGCGGCGAAGGUCGACCGGAAGGACGGCUGGAGCGCAUGGAAGUGAGAAUGCCGGUAUGAGUAGCGAAAAGACAGGUGAGAAUCCUGUCCACCGAAAGCCUAAGGAUUCCUGAGCAAGGCUCGUCCGCUCAGGGUCAGUCGGGACCUAAGCCGAGGCCGAAUGGCGUAGGCGAUGGGAAACAGGUCGACAUUCCUGUACCACCUACGGGUCGCUUGACCGAUGCGGGGACGCAGGAGGCUAGGGGGACCCGGCCGCUGGUUGAGCCGGGGUAAGCGGGUAGCGUGGCCCGGUAGGGAAGUCCGCCGGGCUAAACGUGAGACGCGAUGCCGACCGAAAUGAAGUAGGGAAGCCCCUGACGCCACACUGCCGAGAAAAGCCGCUAGGGAGACCCGGGGUGCCCGUACCGCAAACCGACACAGGUAGGCGGGGAGAGAAUCCUCAGGUGCGCGGGAGAACCCUCGCUAAGGAACUCGGCAAAAUGCAUCCGUAACUUCGGGAGAAGGAUGGCCCUCGAACCGUGAGCGGAGAGACGCCGCAGAGCGGGGGAGGGUUGCAGAGGAGAGGCCCAAGCGACUGUUUACCACAAACACAGGUCAGUGCUAAGCCGGAAGGCGACGUAUACUGGCUGACGCCUGCCCGGUGCUGGAAGGUUAAGGGGAAGGGUCAGGCUGCAAGGCCGAAGCUCUGAACCGAAGCCCCAGUAAACGGCGGCCGUAACUAUAACGGUCCUAAGGUAGCGAAAUUCCUUGUCGGGUAAGUUCCGACCCGCACGAAUGGCGUAACGACUUGGGCACUGUCUCGGCGAGGGACCCGGUGAAAUUGCAAUACCUGUGAAGAUGCAGGUUACCUGCGAUUGGACAGAAAGACCCCAUGGAGCUUUACUGUAGCCUGGCAUUGGAUUUUGGUGGUGCGUGUACAGGAUAGGUGGGAGCCUGCGAAGCCGGGUCGCCAGAUUCGGUGGAGGCGCCGUUGGGAUACCACCCUCGCAGCAUCGAAGUUCUAACACAGGCCCCUGGAGCGGGGCCGUGGACCGUGCCAGGUGGGCAGUUUGACUGGGGCGGUCGCCUCCCAAAAGGUAACGGAGGCGCCCAAAGGUCCGCUCAGGAUGGUUGGAAAUCAUCCGUGGAGUGCAAAGGCAGAAGCGGGCUUGACUGCGAGACAGACAGGUCGAGCAGGGUCGAAAGACGGGCUUAGUGAUCCGGCGGUUCCGGGUGGAAGGGCCGUCGCUCAACGGAUAAAAGCUACCCUGGGGAUAACAGGCUGAUCUCCCCCAAGAGUCCACAUCGACGGGGAGGUUUGGCACCUCGAUGUCGGCUCAUCGCAUCCUCGGGCUGAAGUCGGUCCGAAGGGUUCGGCUGUUCGCCGAUUAAAGCGGUACGCGAGCUGGGUUCAGAACGUCGUGAGACAGUUCGGUCCCUAUCCAUCGCAGGCGGAGGAGAUUUGACGGGAUCUGCCCCUAGUACGAGAGGACCGGGGUGGACGGCCCGCUGGUGUACCAGUUAUCCCGCCAGGGGUACAGCUGGGUAGCCAUGGCCGGAACGGAUAAGCGCUGAAAGCAUCUAAGCGCGAAGCCGGCCCGAAGAUGAGAUCUCCCAUCCCGCAAGGGAGUAAGGCCCCUGGAAGAUGACCAGGUAGAUAGGCCGGGAGUGGAAGUGCCGUAAGGCAUGGAGCGGACCGGUACUAAUCGGCCGAGGGCUUGAUUUCGCUG
rnacentral:rRNA from 2 species